rnacentral:lncRNA from 1 species
AUUAUCUGGUCACCUCACCGGCUGCGCAAACGUGUCCACAACGGGUCCCUCCCCGAGAGGCCACAUCUCGCCUAAGGUGGAGCCAGCAGGUAUUUGCCUGUGGAAAACUGCAGUGGAUCCUGCCCCGUCUGCGUAGACUGCGCAGCUCGGAGUCAAAGAUUCGUUCUGGCCAGAGAGGAGGUACUAAGAGAGGUGCGACCUAGCCAAGAACGAGGUCGUGGAGAAAACCCUGUGGGGGCGGCGCUCACAUAUGCGGUGAUGAGGAGUUGUGAGGGCCCUGGGGUCGGCCCCGAAAAGUAGGGAUAACGGUCGCAGAGGCCAUACUGCUUCCGCCGGUCCCGAAUCCGCACUGCCAGGAGAGAUCCGGCCUUCAAACGCUGCUCCCAACGUUCAACAACGAAGUGCCCUGCGACCGAAAACGACCUUCAGGAAUCAGCCUGAGUGUUCGCGCCCGAGCCCGAUUGGAAGCAGGUGCGUGGUCGCUUCACUCUCCCCGUGCACACCUUGAGUUAUAGCUCUCGCUGCGCACAGAGGGCACCACACGGGGCCCGACACACACACACACACACACACACACACACACACACACACACACACCAUCACUUCAUGGGGGGGAAACUGAGGCUGCCGGAAGACAGAAAACGAAGACUGAUCACAGAAGAGGGGGCUUCAAUCACAGGUGCUCGCAGACACCCCAACUCCCUCACGCGUUACUCAGCACUCCUUAACUUAGGAGACGUGCGCUUCCGAGAGAUGAGAAGAAACUAAAAAAGUGGUUGGCAGGGCGAAGAGAGGAAGCCGGUAUUUCGGAAGAAGGAGACUUUCGUCUCCGGUACCGGAUAGGGCGAAAAUUCGUUGGGUCGCGGGUGGAGAAUCCGGGGUCCGCCCGCGCGGUGCCGCCCUGUGCUCAGCGAAAGGUGCGCUCACCUUCCUGGCCCCGAGGAUCCGCUCCUCCCGGCCGCUGGAAAGCUCAGGGCGGGGCCCGGGCCUGCGGAGAACUCCAGGUUCCUUCCGAGUCUUCCGGUGAAGGCGGGCGCGGGUAGGGGGUCCCCGCGUUUCCCCAGCGCAAGGCCGCGUCCCGCUCCCGCCCGCGCCGGCCCCAGCAGGGCUCGGCCAUGGCUCCACUCACCAGCUCCCGCCACCUGGGAUCCGCUCCCGGACCUCGGCCGCCCGAGCCUCCCGACUCGCCCGCCCACCGGCCUCGCUUUCCAGUGCCUGCUGUCUCUUUCCGGGGCGCAGGGACCCCCAGGCGGCGCCACGACC